CUUUCGAAACAUCAAUUUGAAUCUCGAAGCGAAGAUCGCUUUCGUUCGAAAUAUCAACUCGAUAGGAAGAAAAAUAAUCAAAAUAAUAACUUCUUUUUCUGGAGAUGUAUGAGAAUUUAAGAUUGAAAUAAGAAUCUACAUUUUCAAGAACAGUGAAGGAUUGUAUAAACUUGAUACAAGGAAUGAACGAGAAUUAAAUAAAUGUGUAGCAAGCUUCACAAUCAACACGUCACGGGCACUCCGCAUCCGCUUGCGCUUAUGAAAAUACGUUGGACUCGUAGAACCGAGAUUUCUCGGGAGCAGUAGGUCACCUAUUCUAGUCAGCGUGAUGCCGACUAGAUGAAAUCCUAGAUCGACGGUUACCAUAACGACCAACGGUUCUCCCUUUAUGAUUUCCUCACCCCAUAGAACUGCCUAUGCCAUGGUGACCCCGUAGAAACCCCUGGCCUUUCUAUUCCGCGCGAUUACGGGUCGAGUCCCUCCAUUCAGAACCCCUAUUCUGUUUUUUCUAGGGGCUUUUCUAUCGCGCCGCCUGUUCGCGACAAUUCGCUGACAGAUUUCAUUCGAUGGAGAACAAGGAGAACUGUCAAUCCGUUGCCCUUUAAUAAUAUUUCCAUCUGGAAGUACCCUCGCGUUUUAAUUGAAGUCAAGGAGUUGAAAAAGGAACAUAGAACGCAUUGAUUCGUGGAUUAUCAGGUUCCAAAGGCAAUCGGGUCAGCUGCAGGUUCCACAGUCCAUUAAUUACGUAACUUCAACCGUUUGUUGGACGAAGGAAGGUAUUUUGCGCGAAGUCCUCGACACAAAAACAACGUGUAAAUACGUACGAGCGCUUUUGCGGAGAAGCUCGUAUAAGGAAACAACCGACGGUCGUUUGCGCAAUUCUCGAACACGCUCGGCAGCCCGCUCAGAAUCGUUCGUAGGAUUGCGGAGGAAAAGGUCCGAACACCAAGGUGGCCGGGACCUUGAAGACAAAAGCGACUAUCUGCGUUGAGCCUAAUGGCACGAGUCAUACCGUUUCAUGAUUCGUUGCGCCAUCCCAUCCAUUUUAAUCGGCCAGCACCAGCACCGACAGUCGUUCCAUUGAUCAGGCACCCUUUUUGUGGACACAGGUGGGGAACGAGCGACGAUCGACUUAUUAAUUGCUCGAGGAAUUAAUCGAGAGCCAGUCUUUCCCUCUCGCAAUGAGUAAAUCCAAUACGCGGUUUAAAA